rnacentral:rRNA from 4 species
UGAGGAAUAUUGGUCAAUGGACGAGAGUCUGAACCAGCCAAGUAGCGUGAAGGAUGACUGCCCUAUGGGUUGUAAACUUCUUUUAUACGGGAAUAAAGUGAGGCACGUGUGCCUUUUUGUAUGUACCGUAUGAAUAAGGAUCGGCUAACUCCGUGCCAGCAGCCGCGGUAAUACGGAGGAUCCGAGCGUUAUCCGGAUUUAUUGGGUUUAAAGGGAGCGUAGGCGGACGCUUAAGUCAGUUGUGAAAGUUUGCGGCUCAACCGUAAAAUUGCAGUUGAUACUGGGUGUCUUGAGUACAGUAGAGGCAGGCGGAAUUCGUGGUGUAGCGGUGAAAUGCUUAGAUAUCACGAAGAACUCCGAUUGCGAAGGCAGCUUGCUGGACUGUAACUGACGCUGAUGCUCGAAAGUGUGGGUAUCAAACAGG